rnacentral:rRNA from 1 species
UACGUAGGGGCAAGCGUUGUCCGGAAUCAUUGGGCGUAAAGCGCGUGUAGGCGGCUCGGUAAGUCCGCUCUGAAAGUCCGGGGCUCAACCCCGGGAGGCGGGUGGAUACUGUCGAGCUAGAGUCCGGAAGAGGCGAGUGGAAUCCUGGUGUAGCGGUGAAAUGCGCAGAUAUCAAGGAGGAACACCAAUGGCGAAGGCAGCUCGCUGGGACGGUACUGACGCUGAGACGCGAAACGUGGGGAGCAAACAGGAUUAGAUACCCGUGGUAA